GAUGAACGCUGGCGGCGUGCCUAAUACAUGCAAGUCGAGCGAACAGACGAGGAGCUUGCUCCUCUGACGUUAGCGGCGGACGGGUGAGUAACACGUGGAUAACCUACCUAUAAGACUGGGAUAACUUCGGGAAACCGGAGCUAAUACCGGAUAAUAUAUUGAACCGCAUGGUUCAAUAGUGAAAGACGGUUUUGCUGUCACUUAUAGAUGGAUCCGCGCCGCAUUAGCUAGUUGGUAAGGUAACGGCUUACCAAGGCAACGAUGCGUAGCCGAUCUGAGAGGGUGAUCGGCCACACUGGAACUGAGACACGGUCCAGACUCCUACGGGAGGCAGCAGUAGGGAAUCUUCCGCAAUGGGCGAAAGCCUGACGGAGCAACGCCGCGUGAGUGAUGAAGGUCUUCUGAUCGUAAAACUCUGUUAUUAGGGAAGAACAAAUGUGUAAGUAACUAUGCACGUCUUGACGGUACCUAAUCAGAAAGCCACGGCUAACUACGUG
rnacentral:rRNA from 1 species